GAUGAACGCUGGCGGCGUGCUUAACACAUGCAAGUCGAACGGUGAAGGCGGAGCUUGCUCUGCUGGAUCAGUGGCGAACGGGUGAGUAACACGUGAGCAAUCUGCCCCUGACUCUGGGAUAAGCGCUGGAAACGGCGUCUAAUACUGGAUACGAGCUGCGAAGGCAUCUUCAGCAGCUGGCAAGAACUUCGGUCAGGGAUGAGCUCGCGGCCUAUCAGCUUGUUGGUGAGGUACCGGCUCACCAAGGAGUGGAUGGGUAGCCGGCCUGAGAGGGAGACCGGCCACAGAGGCACUGGGACACGGCCCAGACGCCUACGGGAGGCAGGAGCGAGGAAUAGUGCAAAAUGGGCGGCGUCCGGAUGCAGCAACGCCGCGUGGGGGAGGACGGCAUGCGGGGUGGAAACCUCUUUUGGCAAGGAAGAGGCGAUAUGAACGGUACCAGAAAAAAAAGCCCCGCCAAACUACUG
rnacentral:rRNA from 1 species